rnacentral:rRNA from 1 species
AUUGAACGCUGGCGGAAUGCCUUACACAUGCAAGUCGAACGGCAGCACGGACUUCGGUCUGGUGGCGAGUGGCGAACGGGUGAGUAAUGUAUCGGAACGUGCCCAGUCGUGGGGGAUAACGUAGUGAAAAUUACGCUAAUACCGCAUACGAUCUAUGGAUGAAAGCGGGGGAUCGCAAGACCUCGCGCGAUUGGAGCGGCCGAUAUCAGAUUAGGUAGUUGGUGGGGUAAAGGCCCACCAAGCCAACGAUCUGUAGCUGGUCUGAGAGGACGACCAGCCACACUGGAACUGAGACACGGUCCAGACUCCUACGGGAGGCAGCAGUGGGGAAUUUUGGACAAUGGGCGAAAGCCUGAUCCAGCCAUUCCGCGUGCAGGAUGAAGGCCCUCGGGUUGUAAACUGCUUUUGUACGGAACGAAAAGGUUUCUACUAAUACUAGGAGCUCAUGACGGUACUGUAAGAAUAAGCACCGGCUAACUACGUGCCAGCCGCCGCAGUAA